UCGGCUGUCCCAUGGGGGGGGUCUCUCAGCUUCUGUUUUUUAAUCUCACAGACAUUGUGGGGGCUGGCCUCUUCUGGGGGACACUUCCCAGCUCACAGACAAGGAGCACAGCCUCGGAGGAGGGAGGCUUUCGCGGUAGCCAGGAGCAUUUACCUGGUGUCUGCGAAGACUGCUCUCAACCCUGGGCUUCAGCGUCAGCCGUAAAAUGGGGAUGAGUAACUGCAGGGUUGUGAGGGGAUGAGGGGGAGUUGAGCCAGGCAAGAUAAGUGGUAGGCGGGUGGUGCCAUCACAGCUGAAGCCCCCACCCCCCAGCAUCCUCAUCCUGAAUGGUGCAGGCCGUGCAUCCUGGGGUGGCCGCAGACCCACCCUGGGGCUGACACUCACCCAGCCCGGCCCCAGGGAAAUGGGGACAGGCAGACGUUUCUCCAGGUCUCCAGGACCUGCUACUGGGAGGCCUGAGCUGAGGUGUUCCGCCUGACCCAUCUGGGCCGAGGGGCUGGUACAGUCAGUCCCCCUCGACUGUGAGCCAGCCUGCCACCCCACCCGAGGUAUCCUCAUUUCUUCACAACCCCGUGGCAGGCGCAGCAGCCCGUAGGUCCGGGGGACAUUGUCACCGCAGCUCAGGGGCUGUUCCACGGCAUUUUCAGUUUUCUGUCCUGGGCAGGAAUGAAACUGGUUUGAGUGGCCGUAUCCAGGUAGCCAUUGCCUCUCCGGGUGGAAGUAAGGUAGGCCGAGGGAGCUGGCUCAAAGAGCAGGCUGCCAUGCUGGCCGAGGUUGAUUUAGACGUACAGGAACACUGGGAUAGUGUAGGAAAUGGGGGAUAUUUCCCCAGGGAAAUGGGGAAGAGCAGAAGGAGGAGCUAAAUGCCCCAAUAACUAUAAAGCCUGGUGUGGUGAUUUAUGGCAGAUGGGCACACCCUCCUGUUGUCUCUCCGUGUGUCCAGGGAUCUUCUGCGGGUGUGGGGCCAGUGAGGCUGGUGGGUGCUGCCUAGUGCGUAAGCUCUGCUUUGUCUCCUGGGGACUGAACCCCUCCGUGUGCUGGGCCCUAAUGUCUGUUAUCUAAGGCAACUUUGUGGAGUCCCGACCAGGUGCCCACCGGGAAGUUGAGAUCUGGGAGGCUGAGCCCCUUGCAGAUCCAAACAGAAGAGCCUGAGCCAGACUGGCUGGCAUCCUAAACCCCCUGGCCCUCCCCUGUGCCCUCAGCUGCAUUUGGGGCCUCUGGCAGGCAGGACCCAGGAGGUGGCCCAUUAGAACGAUGAUGAACAGAGUUGGGUGGCAGCUGACCCUGCUGGUGCCCAUGAGAGGGGAAGCAGCGGAGGCCACAGAGUUGGGCAAGAAGCAGGAAGGCACAUUUCUCUGCCUUGGGAUCUGGGCAUGCUCUGUAGCUCGGUGUGAAUACACCUUCCACAGGUUGGCAGAGCACAGGGGAGGCCGCCGCCAUUCCAGGCAGGCUGCCUGCUUGGUGUACCAAUUUGGCCUGACCUUGGGCCGCCCCCGCUGGGGACUUUCCUCUGCUAUGACCACACCUAUUCCCCUUCCUCCCCCCUUUACUUGUGGGGUCAUCCCUGCAGCCACUGACCUACAGGGUCAUCCCUGACUCCCCUCCCUGCCACAUCCAGAUCAUUCCCCAGUCCCGCCCCCUUUCAGCCUGGCCCCCACAUCACUUCUCCCCCGCCUCCACAUUGCCAUAUCUUGCCCAACCAGGGACAUGUGAUCACGCUGCAGACCUCUGCCCCAAUUCCUACCCUGCAGGGCUACCAUCCAGCUCCUGGCUGAUGCCCGGUCUCCCAUCUGUGAUAGACUCAGGAGGCUUGCGUUGCCCGCAACCCAUGGCACCAUCCCCCAUCUCUCCAGGCUGUUGCACAACAUCACCUCCUCCUGGAAGCCCUCCCUACUGCCCACCUGCCCACUGCCCUGCAGGACUGUGACCCAAGCUUGGAUGAUCGGUUCGUGCCCGUGUCUGCUGAGGAAAACUGAGUGCCUCCGGAAGGACAGGCCAGAAUCACCAGCCUGGCACUGGGCAGGCUCUUGGGGAACGUUUCAUGAAUGAACGAAACAGAAUCCAGAGACUGAAAUGGAAGAAGAGGGGGCCAUGGACCAACCAUGCGUAGUGCUGUGGCCCAGCCACCAAGCCUGCCACAUCUCCUGGGGAGUUGGGAUGCUCAGAGAAAUAAAUGGACAGGAGUUAAUUUUUCUACCUCCACUAGGUAUGCUCCCUUUUAGGACUAAUCUGAGGGGCUCUGAGACCACGCCUCAUCACAAGCCGUGUGGCAGUGCCCGAUGGAGAGGCCCACAGAGGGACAACGUCCAGGUAACACCAGCCACUGCCCUGGGGGUUUCAGUCAGGAAGACCAGCUGUUACAGGUGUAUGGACGUCUGGGGCCAUUGCUCUCAAUCACUAGGUGGGAAACGCAGGCAUCUGUUGGCCCAUCAGAUGUCAUCAGUGGGUGACAGCACAUUCUGCUAAUUUAGCUCAGAUGUCACUGCUUCCGGGGGUCCCCGUCCAGGUGGUCCUCAAAACCACAAGGUCCCUCGCCUCCCCUCCUCCAGCAGUGGCAGGUCAGCCUGGGGCCUGCUCAGGCCCUCCGUCCCACCUGCCAGUCCCCUCUGCUGAUGGCCUGCUGUGUGACCUUGGGCCAGUCACUCCCCUGCUCUGAGUCUCAGUUUCUCCAUCUGCCCCACAGUCUCUUUGACCUCUACCUCUGACAUUUGCUGGGCUCUGGAACGUUCUGAGGGGCCAGGUUUGGAGUGGCUGUCUUGGGCAUGUGGCAGAUCUCCUGGGCUUUGAGCCGGAACCCCGCUUCUGGAGGUCUCCCUUGGGGAAGGGCGGAAGAUUUGUGCAUGGAGCUGUUCGUCCUAAUGCCCCUUACAAAUGGGAGAACCUGGGAGCAGCCAGCCAUUCCCCUGGGUUCGGUGUUUGGGUUACAUAGUCAUGAUGAAGCUACCUGAUGGGACAUUAUGUGGCCAUUUGGAAUGACACUGCAGGGUUUAUAAUCAUGUGGGCAGCGCUUCCAGGAAAGGUCAGGGCAGCUCCGUGGAUGCGUGUGAGCCCUUCCCGGAGGGCAUCUGCUGUGCUCGGGGCUGGGCAGGGGCGGAUCCAAAGUGCUGGCUGCUUCCUUCUUUCACUUUCCCGGAUCUUGUUGAUGACGGUCUGUUCCUUUUGCAAUGGGGAAAAAAAGUCGCUUUAGUUACAAAACUAACAACCUGGGCAGGAUGCACCCAUUAUCAUGUUCUCCCCCGAAAAGAGACAUUUGUUUACCAAAAGUGUAUGAGGUCAUGGGGGCAGGGGCGGCCAGCAUUGCCCAGGGCGCGUCGUGGCAUUUAAAAGGAGCAGAGGUGACUUGGGGGGCAGUGCUCUGAGGCUGGGUAGCACAUGGAGGCUCCUUGUGGCCGGUGACAGUGGCGGUACUGUGGCUUUGGGGCAGACCCGUCUUCAAGUUUCCAUUUGAGUUAGAAUGUUCUGAGUCCGACACCUGGAAGUGACAUCUGUGGAUGAAGCAGGAGUCCUUGUGGUUGUGGGGCCGGAACGGGGAACCGCUGCUCCGCAUCGCCUGUGACGGUCCCCGACUCAGUGGCGCUCAGGCGAGUGUGUGACCCUGCACCCGCCGAUGGCUUGCAUCUCCGGAGCCCGCGUGGUAACGAGUGUGGUGUUGGCCCCGGCCUUGCGUGAGCACCUACUGUGUAUGCCAGCCGAGCCAACCGGAUUUUCAAUCAUUCAUUUUCCCUGAUGUCAGCUUUGUAUGAAUGUGGCUCAUCCCAGAGCACCCCUGGGACAGCGGGACCCCUUGUGGCCUUUGGAAGACACUCUAGGACCGCACGGCCCAGGUCUCACCACUUCUCCCGGCCUCCUCAUCCCCAGGUGACGCCUAAAGCUCACGUCACCCUCAGGUCGAGAAGUGACACUGAAACGAAAACUCCUGUCCACUGCAGACCUUCCUCUGUUGUCCUCAGAAGGUUCUCUCUGGUCUCCCCCAUUAGACUGGACAUGGCCUGAGGAGGCGAGGAUAGAAGAGGCGCACGCAGCCCCAUCUCUCUCUGCUCUGUGAGGACUCACUGUCCCCAGGGCUCAAAGUCAGGUGCACCUGCACCCCCUGGGCUCACCCUGCCUUGAGGGCCCCCUCUAGGACUGGGAGUCCCUGACGUGGGCCCCUUUUUUCCGCCUGGCUGUGAACCAGCCCUUGAGUGCAAUCCUAAUAUGCCCAGGCCACCUGCCGUCCACCCGAGAUGCCACGCAGGUGAGUAUCCUGGAACCCAAAGGCCAAAUGAGGGAAACUGAGUCACGUCUGCUUCUCCCAGACUGGGCUGGGGACCGGGGAUGGGGUUCAUGGCACAGGCUGUGUGUCUCCUCUUUUCCUGCCUGUCUCCCUGCCCUUCCCACCCCGUGGAGCCCAGCCUGUGGCUGGUCUGUUAUGCAAUCAGUGCCCCCCAACUGGUGCUGGGCCCUAUUGGGUCAGCACUGCCGGCUCUGGAGCUAAACCCUGGCCCCUGGGUGGGGGCAGGGGAGGGGGGCGCAGGCCACAGGGCAGGGUCUGUCUCGUCCCUGCAGUGGCACAGGUGUGGAUUCUGGCUCUGAUGCUGAAUAACGGUGGUCUGCCUGCUGCUCAGAUCCCCUGAGGGGCGGCUGGGCCUUUACCCCACAUUGUAGUGAGGAGAUCAGGGCCUGUGAGGGCAUAAGAUGUACCCAGGGAAGCACAGCAGGGGGGUUCCCGGGCAUCUCCACCGACUAGGCUGCCCCGCCCCUGCCGCCCUCAGCCUGCUAGGGCCUGUGCUUGGAGCCGUGUGGUCCAUGUGGCCUAAGGGGGCUGAGUCUGUGAGCCCGGAGCACACGCUCAGGGCGCCUCCCUCAGGGUGCCCCUGAGAUGUUCAGGGGCAGCCCUGGGCUGGGAGCCUGGUUCUUGGCUGCCCCUGUCCCCAGCGAUGAGGCUCAUAAGGGCCGGUCACCCCGCAGGACAGCUGGGCAGGCCCUUGACAGCCAGCCAGAAUCUUUUUGCCUGGCUCACUCACCAUGGCAGGGGUCGGGGGUCAGAGGAAGACCCUCGGCCGCUCUCCUCUCAACCCCUGCCCCAGAGGUUGGCUGACUCUCCCUGGCAUAUCCUUGAGGACACCCCAGUCCUGUCUACCAGCUAGCCAGUCCGGGGGGAAGCCACAGGACCCUGAGACCCUCUCAUGUAAUAUUUUAUUCUGGGCCCUCAAAGGGACAUGGGCCAGCCAGGUCCUGGGUAGCGGCCAGGCACUCUUGUCCCCACCCCCAGGUGGCUGCAUCUCAGGCUUCCCCUCAGUGGACAGCGCUGGGCCUUGGCCCUGAGCCUCUUUCAUUGCUGGAUGAGGGUCCUGGGACUUAAGCCAUGACCUCCAGUGGGGAAAAAGGCAAUUGCCCUGCACAAGGCGCCAUCAGUACAGCCCCUGCACCCAGGGGCUGUUCCGGAAGCUGCAGCUGCCCCACUUCUUGGGACUGGGCAUGAGCCGCCCCCUCAACCUUGUAGCAGGGGCAAGGCCCAGCCUGGGAAAGCCCAAGAACAAGACCCCCGCCCAGCCUGGGGCCAGGGACCCAUCCAUCUGGGCCUCAGCAUCCUCACUGCUAAAUGGGGUUGGUCAUCCCAGCUUCCCUGGACCUGUGACGACCCAGUGGUACAGCCCAGCCUCGUGCCUGCCUGGAGAGGACAGUCUGUUGGGAAGGGGCGUGGAGGGAGGUUUAGGGCACUGAAGAGACAGAGCUCUCCUACCACUUUACUACCACUUUUCUGAUCUCCUGAAGUCUUCGGUGUUAACCUCUGCUUCCAUCUGCUCACCUGCUAGGUAGGUAGCUGCACCGGUGUUUCCUCUGUGCCCAGGCAGGUGGAGGCCGUGCUGGAGGCUGUGGCUGAUGUUUACAAGACUGGCUGCCAUUGGGCACUGGUGCAGAGCCCUUGAAAGGCGUGAUCCGCCCCAGGGAGGGACACUGGGGCCUGUGUGUUUCCCUCGAGGGUCUGCAGUGCUGGCCCGGCCACCCUCCCCAGGUUGCCUUUUGGGAGGAAAGAAUAGCCUUCUCUGGCCUGCCCCAUAGUGGGGACAGCUCAGGGCACCCUGAGCGGCAGGACCAACCAGAGCCCGUGGGAGGCGAUCCCCGCUGACCCAGUGGCCCCUCAGGCUGGCCCCGGGCCCAGCAGUCCCUGAGGCUCUCCUGCUGGACCGAGGGUGGGCGGCCGGGUGUACACUCCCCGCACUUGUUUAACACAUGCUGGCCCCCAACAAAUGACAGCCUCCCUCCCAGUGCCACCGCGCAAAAGGUACUUGGGGACAUGGCCACUGCUGUCCAGAUGGGGGAGACCCAGCCACUGUCCAGUUUCCCCCAAGCCACACUACCCUUCCCUCCCCUUCCUUCUCCAGCAGCUGGCGUCUCCUGUGGGGCUGGCUCCUCUCUGCCUUGGGCAUGUGGGCACUGACCCAGGCCCUCCGCUGACCCGCCAGCCAGAAUCCCAGUGGCCUUAGCAGCCGGCUAGCCCGGCUCUCAGCCCUGUGCCCCGGAGUCCCCCAACCCCAGAAGGAGGAAGCCAUGAAGCCCGUUUCGGCGCCCAGACUGACGGCCCUUUGGGGUGAGGUAGUAGGUUGUAUAGUUUGGGGCUCUGCCCUGCUAUGGGGUAACUAUACAAUCUACUGUCUUUCCUGAAGUGGCUGUAAUACCGACGGUGGACGGCACAUAGGACCCGUUGGGAAGGGGCGGGGGGCAGGUUGGGGUGGGGAGCAGCCUCGGCAGCGUGGGGGUCACUGGCCGCUAUGCUGAGCUAGUUUCCAUGUGCUGUGUGACCUUGGGCAGGUCCCUUGACCUCUCUGGGCUCCAGUUCCCUCAUCUGUGAAAAGCAGGUGGGUGAGAAUUGACGGAGAUAGCUGCGUGUCGUGCCCAGGGCAGGGAGGGCCUCAGACUUGGCCUGCCCUCUCCCCCCACUGUGCUGACAGCCGGCGCACCCACCGGGCGGUUUGUGCAGCCUGCCCCCUGCCCACCCAUCCUGUGCAUCAGGCCCACGAGCCGGCCUGUCCGGACUCUCCUCCACCACAUUCCCAUGGCUGGCACUGGGCACCAGGACGAAGAGCCUUGGGCCCGAGGAGGACGGGGCAGCUGAGAUGGCAGGGAGGCCCAUGGCUCCCCCCGGCCUGCCCAGCCCGGGACGGGGCGGGGGCGGCACGGUCCUCCAUGCCCGCCGUGCCUGAGCAGGAAGCAAGGAGCGCUCCUGACACCUGCACCCCUUGAGGGCACACGCCCGUCCCACCUCCCAGUAACCACGGGUAGAGGGUGUGGGCUGCACUGUGUGGGAAACCGAGGCACCGCCCGCUUGUCCCUCCUGCCCUGCACCUGCCCUGCACCUGCCCAGCCCUCCAGCUCGGCUCUGGUGGCCAAGGACCACCAGGCAGGGGCCGGGCUGGGCGUGGGGCAGUGGCGGGUGCGGACCCUCCCGCUCCUGGGGCGCCGGCGGGGUGAGGUAGUAGGUUGUGUGGUUUCAGGGCAGUGAUGUUGCCCCCUCAGAAGAUAACUAUACAACCUACUGCCUUCCCUGAGGGGCCCAGCGGCACGCUGGGAGGGCCGCCCCAUCGCCACU